rnacentral:tRNA from 1 species
GGGCCGGUGGUGGAACGGCAGACACGUCGGACUUAAAAUCCGAUGCCGAAAGGCAUGUGGGUUCGAAUCCCACCCGGCCCA